rnacentral:rRNA from 1 species
GACGAACGCUGGCGGCGUGCUUAACACAUGCAAGUCGAACGGAAAGGCCCUGCUUUUGUGGGGUGCUCGGGUGGCGAACGGGUGAGUAACACGUGAGUAACCUGCCCUUGACUUUGGGAUAACUUCAGGAAACUGGGGCUAAUAUCGGAUAGGAGCUCCUGCUGCAUGGUGGGGGUUGGAAAGUUUCGGCGGUUGGGGAUGGACUCGCGGCUUAUCAGCUUGUUGGUGGGGUAGUGGCUUACCAAGGCUUUGACGGGUAGCCGGCCUGAGAGGGUGACCGGCCACAUUGGGACUGAGAUACGGCCCAGACUCCUACGGGAGGCAGCAGUGGGGAAUAUUGCACAAUGGGCGGAAGCCUGAUGCAGCAACGCCGCGUGCGGGAUGACGGCCUUCGGGUUGUAAACCGCUUUCGCCUGUGACGAAGCGUGAGUGACGGUAAUGGGUAAAGAAGCACCGGCUAACUACGUG